GGUGAUUAGUGUCAUAGAGAGGGAGGGGAUGACUAGUGACAGAGUGAGGGAGGGAAGGGGUGACUAGUGACAGAGUGAGGGAGGUGAUGAUUAGUGACAGAGGGAGGGAUGGGGUGACUAGUGACAGUCACCCCCUCCUUCACUCUGUCACUGUGUCACCCCCUCCCUCACUCUGUCAUCGUGUCACCCCCUUCCUCACUGUCACUAGUCACCCCUUCCUUCCCUCACUCUGCCACUAGUCACCCCUUCCCUCACUCUGUCACCCCUUCACUCUAGUGACAGAGUG
rnacentral:sRNA from 1 species